UGGGGAAUAUUGGACAAUGGACCAAGAGUCUGAUCCAGCAAUUCUGUGUGCACGAUGAGGUUUUUCGGAAUGUAAAGUGCUUUCAGUUGGGAAGAAAGAAAUGACGGUACCAACAGAAGAAGUGACGGCUAAAUACGUGCCAGCAGCCGCGGUAAUACGUAUGUCACGAGCGUUAUCCGGAUUUAUUGGGCGUAAAGCGCGUCUAGGUGGUUAUGUAAGUCUGAUGUGAAAAUGCAGGGCUCAACUCUGGAUUGCGUUGGAAACUGUAUAACUAGAGUACUGGAGAGGUAAGCGGAACUACAAGUGUAGAGGUGAAAUUCGUAGAUAUUUGUAGGAAUGCCGAUGGGGAAGCCAGCUUACUGGACAGAUACUGACGCUGAAGCGCGAAAGCGUGGGUAGCAAACAGGAUUAGAUACCCUGGUAGUCCACGCCGUAAACGAUGAUUACUAGGUGUUGGGGGUCGAACCUCAGCGCCCAAGCAAACGCGAUAAGUAAUCCGCCUGGGGAGUACGUACGCAAGUAUG
rnacentral:rRNA from 1 species